rnacentral:misc_RNA from 1 species
AACUAUCGACAACGGAUCUCUUGGUUCUCGCAUCGAUGAAGAACGCAGCGAAAUGCGAUAAGUAAUGUGAAUUGCAGAAUUCAGUGAAUCAUCGAAUCUUUGAACGCACAUUGCGCCCCUUGGUAUUCCGAGGGGCAUGCCUGUUCGAGCGUCAUUACACCACUCAAGCACUGCUUGGUAUUGGGCACUCGUCCGUCGAAAGGCGGGCGUGCCUCGAAGACCUCGGCGGGGUUUCACCAACUUCGGGCGUAGUAGAGUUAAAUCGAACGUCUUAUAAGCUUGGGGGAGCCUCAUUGCCGUUAAACCUUUUAUUUUUUCAGGUUGACCUCGGAUCAGGUAGGGAUACCCGCUGAACUUAAGCAUAUCAAUAAGCGGAGGCU